CCCUCCUAGGAAAGCAGAGAGGUUCAUUUGCUGGGUCCCUUCUGCCGUGCACACUGAAUUCCGAGGGUUCAUGAAUACUUCAGCUAAAACAGAAUCAAGUUUCCAACACUCCCUAGGUCAGUCCCCUCCUCUUGGCAGCCUCUCUCUCUUUAACACCCCCUCCUAGGAAAGCAGAGAGGUUCGUUUGCUGGGUCCCUUCUGCCGUGCACACUGAAUUCCGAGGGUUCAUGAAUACUUCAGCUAAAACAGAAUCAAGUUUCCAACACUCCCGUGGGGCUCACGUUGUUAGUUGAAAAGCAGUGCAUUCCUGGACCGAUCAUACCAAGCCAGCACAGUUCUCACUUUGGGAGGUCUUUAUUGAAAGUUGGGAAGAAGCAAGGAAGAGAGGAGACAGGUUGGGGUCUGUGUCUUUUAUCUGGGCCAUGACGUAGGUAAUGUAGGUGAUGACUAGCAGGUGAUACAGGUAACACAGAUAACACAUGCACAGGGCAUGCGACAGUUGCCAUGGCAACAGAUGCAGGCGGGUCCUGUUGCCUAGAGGUGAUGUCAUCGAAGGCUUCAGAGGCUGCUGUAAACAGCUUCUGAUGCUAUGCAAUGGCUGGUUUUGUGUGUUAACUUGACACAAGCUGAAGUUAUCACAUAGAAAGGAGCCUCAGUUGAGGAAAUGCCUCCAUGAGACCCAACUGUAAGGCAUUUUCUCAACUAGUGAUCAAGAGGGGAGGGAGCCCAUUGUGGGUGGUGCCAUCCCUGGGCUGGUGGUCUUGGGUUCUAUAAGAGAGCAAGCUGAGCAAGCCAAGGGUAGCAAGCCAGUAAGUAACAUCUCUCCAUGGCCUCUGCAUCAGCUCCUGCUUCCUGACCUGCUUGAGUUCCAGUCCUGACUUCCUUUGAUGAUGAACAGCAAUGUGGAAGUGUAAGCUGAAUAAACCCUUUCCUCCCCAAUUUGCUUCUUGGUCAGGCUGUUUGUACAGGAAUAAAAACCCUGACUAAAACAUGCUAACGUACCUCCUUUUUUUCUUAUCAUAAAGAGAGGAAAAGUGGGGAGGGGGAAACUGAUGGUAAAAGGGGACUAGGGGCAUUGGAUCUUUUAAACUGCUUCCUGCUGUCUAGGGGUGUCGUCAAUUUUGGGGUACAGCUGACUUUCGGACCCACUUGAUAGUCAUUGGAAUCAGGCUCCUCUGUGGACGGUGGCUGGUAGUCCUGUAAAAGGAACUGACUGCCUAGAAUUCUUUUGAAUUUGUUGUUGAAGGAGUGUGAAGGUAAGGUUAAUGAGGCAGGGAGCAAACGGUAAAGCCAGAAAAACGAGGAGAAGAAGCAUUAAGAAGGGCAGCAUCCGGGCUGGAGAGAUGGCUCAGUGGUUAAGAGCACUGACUGCUCUUCCAGAGGUCAUGAGUUCAAAUCCCAGCAACCACAUGGUGGCUCACAACCGAUCUGUAGCAAGAUCUGAUGCCCUCUUCUGGUGUGUCUGAAGACAGUGACAGUGUACUCAUAUAUAAAAUGAAUAAAUAAAAUCUUUAAAAAAAAGGGGGGGGGGAGCAUCCAUUUCCAUAUAGGGUUUUCGAGAAUUCAGGAAUCAGAGGCCUCACACAGUUCCCUGUGUCUUUGGAUGUCUGAUUGUAGCUGCUGGAAUUUUAUUUACUAUCCCAGAUUCGUUGAUGUAGAAACAGCAUUCUUCUUGGGGAAACGGGCAAAGACCAUCUUCUUUAGCCGUAAGGACAGCCAUCGGUUCUGAAGCACCAUUUGCUUUUAGAUGGUGAGCAUGGUUUGGGUCACUUCUCGACAGUCGUUGUUAAGCUGAGGAGAGAACUUUUGUUUAGGGCUAGGGAAGAGUCAACCCUGCCGUUCCCGCACCAUCACCUAUAGCUAUUCCCACAGCGACCAGGAGUGGCACAACCAGAACUGCCCUCUUGUCAUGUUGGACAGGUAUUGUGUCUACAACUGGGAUUGGCAGAGGUUCUUUUCCAUGAAUUACUCCUAGUUCAGAGAAAAGGAACACCAACGUGCAAACUCCUGACCAGCUGGCAGGUAGGCGGUGAUAUACUUGAGUGCCACAGAGGACUGACAAGUUUUGGACUGCGGGGCACUGUGGCAGAGAUGAGGUAUCAAGGGUGGUCCUGUUGCAGAUUGGGGAGCUUAGUGUUCCCACAGAGCAUGUCCCCGAUGUCUUAAAACAGUCUACCACUCCGGAGAGAGUGAGAGAGAAAAGGUCUUGGGUCAUGUCAGCAUCGGAGGCAGGGCAGCUGAUAAAAGGUGAGGUGAAGUUGCUCAGCAGGGUCACUGGAGAAGCUGUAAGUGGCGAUUGUUAGUUCCAAGGGGUACACAUAGCCAGCAGUCUUUUUUUUUUUUUUCCGAAAAACCACAAAAGAACAUUUAUUCAUUUCCUGAGGCUGAGCUCAGCCACCGCUGUUACGCUGUUACGGAUUAGCUCCAUAGCCAGCACGGUCUCCCAGGAGCCAGGGCUGAAGGAGUAGCACUCUCUUCUGCUUGCUGCUCUUGUAGAGACUGUGAAAUAGCAGCAAGGACAAGGUAUUCUUCAGAAAAUCACUUCUGCUCAGUUCUGUUGUAGGUUUAAGGGACGGUAGGGACAUGUUGGAAAAUUGAGGUACCUUAUUGGAAUAUCUGGGUGUUUGUUCUCCUCUUCCCCAGCACAUAUGAAGAAGCUGUAAAUACGCAGAGCAGAAUCUUAACAUCACCUGCCAUGGCUUCUCCCCUCUCUCCGUCUGUCUCCUCGCCAGCAGUCUUUAAAACAACUAGGUCUGGUGAAUUUAAGGAGUUGGUAGACCGAGGUCAGAGUCUGAAGCAGAAGGUGAAAUGACAGAGCUGGGGACCGAACCCAGGGCCUUGUGCUUGUUAGGCAAGUGCUCUACCACUGAGCUAAAUCCCCAACCCCUGUCUUUUUCUUUUUAACCCUCACUCCCUCCCUGGAGAACCGGUUGACUUAGUUGGCUUUGUCAAGCAAGCAUGUGAAAGGACACAGGACACAUGAUGAAGAAUUCUUGUCUAAUGACGUGAAUGUAUUAGUUGACCUUACAUUUGCGUAUUGAGCUCCAUUUGUUGGGACUCCAUAGAGAGAAAUGCAUCCAAAAACUUCUGGUGGUGUGCUGCAGUUUCUUGCCACUUCUGGGGACUCUGACUGAUUGGCAGAGUGAUGUCAGAUGAACACACAUGCUGAGGCAAGACCUUGGAGGACAGGUGAUGUUUGGAAAGAGUACAAAAGGACUCGAUGGACAGUGAUGGGGGUUGAGCUUGGCUUGCAACAGAGCUGGCUGUACAACACUUGUGGGGAGAUAAGCACAGCUGAGAACUUCUGGUCCCUCCUGAUGACUCGUGCUGAGGCUGAGGCCUGGCUGCCUGUGCUAGGUCAUGCCAUUGCUGCUAGUUCCUGUUUGCUAUCCUGACUACCGAACUGGAUUUCAGUGUAUCUGAAGUGUUCGCAAGAGGAUCAAGCUGCCACUGCUAACCUGUGAACUGAACCGUUCAUUUCCAGACAACACACGACUUUGGGGGUUUCUCCAAAGAACAGCCUCUCCCCCCACUCCCAGCCCCCCCCCCCCACAUAUCCUUUCUGCCUUGUGUCUUAUUAUUUUGAAGUCUUUUAUAGAUAAGCUAGUCGAUCUUUUAUUUUCUGUCCUUGCACCUACAAUAAAUUGUCCAUCUCCAGUUGAUGACCUUUUGUUUCUAGAUAGUGGCUUCAUUCCUAACCAAGAAGGAGUGUUUUCUUUGAUCAUAAAUUUGUUCCAAGCCUGUUUUCUUUUCCUAGUGCAAUUAGCCCAUGACACAUGGAGGUUUUACAGCGCCAUUCGCUGCUUUUAUUCUGUAGGGGGCUUGAGAUUACUUGGAUCAGUUUGGGAGUUCUAUAAAACCAUUAUCAGGAAUUAAAUUAAAUUAAAACAACCAAUUUGUCUAAACAGCAUUGUUGCAUGAAAGUAAAUAUUCAUAUUGGUUGUUCAGGAAAUAUGCCCAACAGAGUAGGUAAGUACACAGGAAAUCAUUAAGCUAUGUAAUAGUGGCAGGAAAGGCAUAUCAGCAGUGAGAAACAAUCCUGGGAUGAAGUCUCUGGGGCACAUGCUUCUCAGUUCACACAUCACAGCCAUGCAAAAACAAUGGGCCAUCUCCAGGAAAUCCAUUUGCUUGCCAGAGCCUUUCCUAGAUGGCUUCUGUCAAACAUCCAUGUGAUGGCUCACAAGCAGCUAUAACUCCAAUUUUAGGGGAUCUGUUGACCACUGCUGACCUCUAGGCACCAGGCAAGCAAACAUCACACAGACAUAUAUAUAGGGUUUUAAUGACACUGAAUGAGAAUAAAAACUGUUACCCAAAUUCUAUGGUCAAAUUAUGCAAGUUUAAUUUUUUAUUAGAUAGGGCUGUCUCCCUAAAGCAGUGUUUGAGAAAAAAAGAAUCAGGAUUAGGAGGUUUUCAAGGGUUGGGGAUUUCCAGAGGAAGCUUGGUUAUGGAGGAGCUUGACUAAACAUUUCAAAAUUAUAUUAUCAGGGUGAAAGUUAGAGUAUAGGGCAUGGGAUAUGUCAAAUUCUAGAAAAUGUGUCAAGACUUGGUCAAACCCAAGUUUCACAGAAAACAGAAAUGAAUUUAUUUUUACCUUGAAACAAGGUGGUUUUUAACCUUAUAUGGAGUCAAACUGGUCCACACUUAGAUCUAAAAUUAAAGAACUAAAAACAUAUGUAUAUUUGUUU